CUCUUAUCCAGAGAGGCGGAGGGACCGGCCCUGCGAAGCCUCGACAACCUGACGAAAGUCAAGGUGCCAAUUCCGGCAGUUUUAUCUGGAAGAUGAGAG
rnacentral:ncRNA from 2 species